GUAAGUAAGGCCUUUCCCUAUUAAAUACCCUUAUAUUUCUACUUGGGUCCGUAUUGCUAAUUUCCCACUUUAAUCAUGAAGGCGUGUUGGAUUUUUUUUUCAAAGGCUUUUCCUGUAUUUAUUGAGAUGAUCAUGUGACUUUUGCCUUUAAGUCUACUUAUGUGGUUUAUUAUAUUCUUUUGAUUUGUUUAUAUAAAAACUUUUCUGCUUUCCAAGGUUAAAGCCAACAUCAUCAUGGUGUAUGAUCUUUGUUUUGCUAUGUCUUUCGAGACAGAGUUUACUGUGUAGCCCUAGAAGAUCUGGAACUCAUGCAGCAGACCAGGCUGGCCCUGAUCUCAGAGAUCCACCUGUCUCUGUCUGCUGAAUGCUGGGAUUAAAGUUGCAGGUACCAUCUUACAGCCAUCAUGUCUGUGUAAAGAAAGCAAGAGUGCCUAAGGAGGUGACCUGGACUGUGAACAUCCACCCUGACCAGCCUGGAAGCCAACAGUUAAUCAUACAGCAGAAUCCAGAGAAAUUCAACAAGGGCCAUUAGGAGUGAAAGCAUGCAAACUAGAAGCUGAGGAGUGCUAUGUUGUGAAAUACUGUCAACUGGACAUGCUAUGGCUAUGGACACUCACGAACUGUGGAUAUCUACAGCUACAUCAAUACAGUGAUAAAAAUUGCAACAUUGAUAGAGGAGAUGGUGUCAAGGCUCCACCCAUUACUGAGGAGGUUUUGGCAGCUGAUAGCUGAUUUGAAAGAACUCCUUGGAGAUGACGGCUCCAUCUAGGACUUGCCUAGGAAAAGAAGCAAUGAGGGCAGAUCACUGUGUAACGCUAGAUAGCCUUCAUCCAGUAGCUGUUCGAAGCAAAAACAGGCACCCACAGGCUCAGAGAUCUAUGCAGAAGAGGAGACAGAAAGAUUGUAAUAGCCAGAGGUUGUGGAUAUCUCCAAGGAAACAACAUAUUCCAGGUCUGCGUGACUGGAAAUGUUGAAAUAGAGAGACAGCCAAUCAGAUGAUUCUGCCUGUGGACUUCAGCAUCUGUGACUCAUCAACA
rnacentral:lncRNA from 1 species